UGAACCGGGAAGAGCUCAAAUUUGAAAUCUGGCGUGCUCAGUGCGUCCGAGUUGUAAUCUAUAGAAACGUUUUCCGUGCCGGACCGUGUCCAAGUCCCUUGGAACAGGGUAUCAAAGAGGGUGAUAAUCCCGUACUUGACACGACGACCGGUGCUCUGUGAUACGUUUUCUACGAGUCGAGUUGUUUGGGAAUGCAGCUCAAAAUGGGUGGUGAGUUCCAUCUAAAGCUAAAUAUUGGCGAGAGACCGAUAGCGAACAAGUACCGUGAGGGAAAGAUGAAAAGCACUUUGGAAAGAGAGUUAAACAGUACGUGAAAUUGUUGAAAGGGAAACGAUUGAAGUCAGUCGUGACUGAGAGGCUCAGCCGGUUCUGCCGGUGUAUUCCCCUCAGUCGGGUCAACAUCAGUUUUGUCCGGUGGAUAAGGGCAGUUGGAAGGUGGCACCCUCGGGUGUGUUAUAGCCAGCUGUCGCAUACAUUGGAUGAGACUGAGGAAUGCAGCUCGCCUUUAUGGCCGGGGUUCGCC
rnacentral:rRNA from 1 species